UGUGUAUACAAUUCCAAAGCUUUUAAGUAAGGAAUUGGUGUGUGUUUUAUGAAGUGUGUCUUCACCUAUUGAAUCUAGAAGUGUACGAUCACAGUGGCUGUGAUUAAGAGGAGGUGAGCGGAGGCUCUCAUACCUAGGUGUGUCUUAGGUAGGAUAUAGCACGGGUGGUGAUUAGGUGAGAAGUCAUAAACGGGAGGUUUAUUGAGGGCUUCAAACUAAUACUAUCAUAGUGGAUUC
rnacentral:lncRNA from 1 species